AGUUUCAGUGACAUGAAGAGUGUGAAGUGAACCACCUAUCACCACGCUACUGCAAUAAUUCAUGACACUUGGAAAUUUAUCUCAACAUGUGGAGUAAUGCUGUUGGUUUCUGUGAAUUCCGUUUUUACGGUUUUGUCAUCAUGAAAUUUUCAGUGUGCUUCUUAGAAAAGAGCACUCAGUUUCUUUGUGGAAUCGUGUGGUCCUGGCACGGAUAUUCUUGAGCCAACGCUGGCUUUUGUCCAUGACCAACGUUCUGCUCCAUCCUUAUCUUCCCGAUGUAUCCAGCUCAUCCAGCUUCUGCUUCAUCGCUUCGUACACAAAAAUACAACUUGUCUUACUUCACUGUUGAGUACUCGAGUUUGGAACACUUCAGCGGUCGCUUCCGUGCCGAAGUUAAACACCUGCAGUCACUCACCACGGAAUUAUGCCCAGGUAAUGCAGAGGAGACGUCAAGAAGAUGGACACCAAAACAUCUCCGUUAUCUUCAAAAUGUCAGCGCGGAUCAUCAUUUAUUGUUGGUAAUAUUUGUGUUUGUGUUAGUUAAUCCGUUGUCUGCCACGCCUUUGUUCUCCCCUACCUCCUUAGCACGGGCUUCCUAGAGGCCCCCAAAAUGCGUGCUUUCCAUCUUCCCUGUCAGCCCGGACUUGUCAGCAAUGGCAAGUCCCACCUUGGUCAUGGAUCCUUCAGACAUGGCGCGUACAGAGUAGAGAACAACCUACGGGUUGUAUGGCGUGGCAGCCAACGGGUUAACUUAAGUGUAUGUAUGUAUGUAUGUGUGUGAUUGUAAAAAGUGGUGGAAUUGUGGGUGGAGGUGGGACAAUAAAGCAAUUCCUAUU